rnacentral:misc_RNA from 1 species
UCCGGUUUGUCACCGGCAGUCACUCUAGAGUGCCCAACUGAAUGCUGGCAACUAGAAUCAAGGGUUGCGCUCGUUGCGGGACUUAACCCAACAUCUCACGACACGAGCUGACGACAACCAUGCACCACCUGUCACGCUGUCCCCGAAGGGAACGCUCUGUCUCCAGAGUUGUCAGCGGAUGUCAAGACCUGGUAAGGUUCUUCGCGUUGCUUCGAAUUAAACCACAUGCUCCACCGCUUGUGCGGGCCCCCGUCAAUUCUUUUGAGUUUCAGCCUUGCGGCCGUACUCCCCAGGCGGAGUGCUUAAUGCGUUAACUUCAGCACUAAGGGGCGGAAACCCCCUAACACCUAGCACUCAUCGUUUACGGCGUGGACUAC